GGAAUAUUGGACAAUGGGCGCAAGCCUGAUCCAGCCAUGCCGCGUGCAGGAAGAAGCAUCUAUGGUGUGUAAACUGCUUUUAUACAGGAAGAAACACUCCCUCGUGAGGGAGCUUGACGGUACUGUAAGAAUAAGGACCGGCUAACUCCGUGCCAGCAGCCGCGGUAAUACGGAGGGUCCAAGCGUUAUCCGGAAUCAUUGGGUUUAAAGGGUCCGUAGGCGGUUUAAUAAGUCAGUGGUGAAAUCUGGUCGCUCAACGAUCAGACGGCCAUUGAUACUGUUAGACUUGAAUUAUAAGGAAGUAACUAGAAUAUGUAGUGUAGCGGUGAAAUGCUUAGAUAUUACAUGGAAUACCAAUUGCGAAGGCAGGUUACUACUUAUGGAUUGACGCUGAUGGACGAAAGCGUGGGGAGCGAACAGGAUUAGAUACCCCGG
rnacentral:rRNA from 1 species